rnacentral:rRNA from 1 species
GUGGUCCCACCUGACCCCAUGCCGAACUCAGAAGUGAAACGCCGUAGCGCCGAUGGUAGUGUGGGGUCUCCCCAUGUGAGAGUAGGGAACUGCCAGGCA